GACGAACGCUUGCGGCGUGCUUAACACAUGCAAGUCGAACGGAAAGGCCCUGCUUUUGUGGGGUGCUCGAGUGGCGAACGGGUGAGUAGCACGUGAGUAACCUGCCCUUGACUUUGGGAUAACUUCAGGAAACUGGGGCUAAUACCGGAUAGGAGCUCCUGCUGCAUGGUGGGGGUUGGAAAGUUUCGGCGGUUGGGGAUGGACUCGCGGCUUAUCAGCUUGUUGGUGGGGUAGUGGCUUACCAAGGCUUUGACGGGUAGCCGGCCUGAGAGGGUGACCGGCCACAUUGGGACUGAGAUACGGCCCAGACUCCUACGGGAGGCAGCAGUGGGGAAUAUUGCACAAUGGGCGGAAGCCUGAUGCAGCAACGCCGCGUGCGGGAUGACGGCCUUCGGGUUGUAAACCGCUUUCGCCUGUGACGAAGCGUGAGUGACGGUAAUGGGUAAAGAAGCACCGGCUAACUACGUGCCAGCAGCCGCGGUGAUACGUAGGGUGCGAGCGUUGUCCGGAUUUAUUGGGCGUAAAGGGCUCGUAGGUGGUUGAUCGCGUCGGAAGUGUAAUCUUGGGGCUUAACCCUGAGCGUGCUUUCGAUACGGGUUGACUUGAGGAAGGUAGGGGAGAAUGGAAUUCCUGGUGGAGCGGUGGAAUGCGCAGAUAUCAGGAGGAACACCAGUGGCGAAGGCGGUUCUCUGGGCCUUUCCUGACGCUGAGGAGCGAAAGCGUGGGGAGCGAACAGGCUUAGAUACCCUGGUAGUCCACGCUGUAAACGGUGGGUACUAGGUGUGGGGUCCAUUCCACGGGUUCCGUGCCGUAGCUAACGCUUUAAGUACCCCGCCUGGGGAGUACGGCCGCAAGGCUAAAACUCAAAGGAAUUGACGGGGCCCCGCACAAGCGGCGGAGCAUGCGGAUUAAUUCGAUGCAACGCGUAGAACCUUACCUGGGUUUGACAUGGAUCGGGAGCGCUCAGAGAUGGGUGUGCCUCUUUUGGGGUCGGUUCACAGGUGGUGCAUGGCUGUCGUCAGCUCGUGUCGUGAGAUGUUGGGUUAAGUCCCGCAACGAGUGCAACCCUUGUUCACUGUUGCCAGCACGUUAUGGUGGGGACUCAGUGGAGACCGCCGGGGUCAACUCGGAGGAAGGCGGGGAUGACGUCAAGUCAUCAUGCCCCUUAUGUCCAGGGCUUCACGCAUGCUACAAUGGCUGGUACAGAGAGUGGCGAGCCUGUGAGGGUGAGCGAAUCUCGGAAAGCCGGUCUCAGUUCGGAUUGGGGUCUGCAACUCGACCUCAUGAAGUCGGAGUCGCUAGUAAUCGCAGAUCAGCAACGCUGCGGUGAAUACGUUCCCGGGGCU
rnacentral:rRNA from 1 species